CAAAGAGAAAAGUGUGCCUUUCCUUGCCUUUUCCCCGACGCAAGCCGUAAAACCCUAGCCACCAACGCCGGCGCAAGCCGUAAAACCCUAAGCAACCGACGGCGGCGCUUGACGGCGAGUCGCCCCCAUCUUCCCCAACGCAAGACGCGAAACGCUAUCAGCCGACGCUUGACGGCGAGCUCUCUCUCCCCCCUACCCCCACCCCCACCCCCACUCGGGGUACUCUUGGGCGCGCAAGAUCUACGGCCUCCGGAAGAUCUUCGAGAGAGAUUGUCGGAUACCUUCUGAAAUGGCGUUCAAUCUUCUCGCUGACCAUCAUACUGAAGCCCAUGACUGGUACGCCUAUGAGCGUUAUGUUGAUGAGGGCAUGGGUGUGGAUGUUUCUGGUACAGUUUUGUCAGUCCAACAGUAUCGACUUAAAAAUGAAGUGCUGGUUAAAGUAUCAUCCAGGAUCUCUCGCCAGAAUAAGUCCUAUGAACUGAUUGGGGAGGCAAUUAGGGCAACCUCCACCUAUUGGUUCGCUACUGAUGCAACACGGUUGUUUAUCUCUUCUCUGAUACACAGAGCGCAGCGAAUUCUGGAUCAAGAUAAGUGCUUAGACAACUUUGAUGCUAAUAAUUUCGUCGUGACAAAUAAAGGAGAGGCCAAGUUCCGACAUGUGAAAAUCAUUGAAAAGACUUAUCAAGCUCGAAGACAAAUGUAUACUUGCAUUGUUAAUGUCAUCAGAGGUUAUUUUGAUGGGUACAAAUUCCUGAAGAUAUGCAGGAUUUGAUUAAUUUGAUGAGUACACAACAAAAAGAUCUUCUCUACCAAAUAAGCCCAGCACUCUUACUUCGCCAUCAAAGAUCAGAUCGAUAUACUCGACUCUAUGAGUAUGUCAAAUACAAAGUGGGCACUUUUCAGAAGGAGCUCAUACUCGAGAAGUUGCUUCAAUUGCCAUGGGUGCUCCAAUGGAAGAGCAAGGUGCCGCAGAACAAUGUACUUAAGGAAACUUUUGACUUCAUUCCGGGUAGCUAUGACCUGAAGCGCCCGACGGAUGAGCAUAAUAAUCCAACAACUCCGUGGACUGAACGCGAACAGAAGCUUAAGCUGGUGGAGUUAUUGCUUGAUUUUGUGAGAAAUGGAACUGCACACCGAUCCCAAAGGAAAACCAAAGUCGAUCCAGAUCAGUUUGAAACCAUCAUUAUGGUUUUUUACCUCAUGCUACUUCCCAAGUUGCAAGAAGCUGUUUAUGAUGUGGCAGGAAAGCCUGCUCUUGUAUAUUUGGGAUUGGCCUAGCCUUAAGAGGCUACCAUUUACAGUCGGUUCAUGGUUGCUACAGUUUAUGUCCCUAUGGUGCUUCACGAAUCACGACUAUUUUCUGCCGGUGAUAUUCUUGAUCCUUCAGGUCCUCGCUCUUGCUUACUACACUACAUCCUACUUCCCUGGAGGCUCUAGUGGAUUAAAAAUUCUCUCUUCAAUUCUCCUGUCUACAGUACCAGAUGUCAUGACCCCAUCGUUUUGCUAGUACCAUCUACAAAUGUUAGGCACAUACGUUGGGAAUGGACUGAAGAAGGUUUGUUGAGCUAUUUGGUAGCACAUUUGUGGGAAUAAAGUUACUGCUAGCGAUUUAUGUGGCCAAAGUUAUGGCUAAAGCGGCUGUUGCUUUU